rnacentral:hammerhead_ribozyme from 1 species
AUGCAACUGACAAGUCCCAAAUAGGAUGAAACGCGCGUCCUGGAU